UACGAAGGGGGCUAGCGUUGCUCGGUAUCACUGGGCGUAAAGGGUGCGUAGGCGGGUUUUUAAGUCAGGGGUGAAAUCCUGGAGCUCAACUCCAGAACUGCCUUUGAUACUGAAGAUCUUGAGUCCGGGAGAGGUGAGUGGAACUGCGAGUGUAGAGGUGAAAUUCGUAGAUAUUAGGAAGAACACCAGUGGCGAAGGCGGCUCACUGGCCCGGUACUGACGCUGAGGCGCGAAAGCGUGGGGAGCAAACAGG
rnacentral:rRNA from 1 species